rnacentral:lncRNA from 10 species
ACAUCCUAGCCAGCAGGAAUGAUAUUCGAGGAGAUGAGUGAUUUCAACACCAAAUGACAUCAUUUUUGGCAUGUUGUGGUAAUGUCCAUAAGACAUCAUUCUUGCCUUUUAAAAUAUCUUUGUAAGAAAUAAAAAUGCAAGAUGACUGAGGUGAUUUUUCUACAUGUACAUAUCUGAGCAAGUGGGAAGAACAAAAACACUCUUUGGGCAACCUUGCCUGCCUGUUAGAAAUUAGUUCAAAUUAAGUUUUGAUAUACUCUCUGCUCCAAAGUGCUUUUAGACAUGGUACUUUGGAGCUAAAAUGAAAAUACAACCAACUUUGCUUUGGAUUCUUCAAUCUUGACUUAAAAGAGGGAAAGGGAUGGCUGAGAAUGUGGUCUCUGAUUGGAAAUUCUAACUCAUGCUGUGACCUUGGGAACAUUGCUUUACUUUCAGGGCCUCAAUUUCUACAUCAAUAAAACAAGGUCAUCAGAAUAAAUGGUCUGUUACAUUCUGAUGAUCUAUCCUGCAGAUGGUGAGCUGGAGGUGCUGAGAGCUUCAACAACGCACCCAAGUCAGAUGGGAAGUCAAAUGCUUGGCCACCCUCAAACUCUCUGUUUUUACUCUGCAAGAAACUUCCCAACAGACUAAUACUUGUAUGGUAUUACCAAGGCAA